rnacentral:misc_RNA from 1 species
UGUGGGAGCGGGCUUGCUCGCGAUUGGAUCGCCGAGGUGCGACUGAUACACCGCGUCGCUGCCAUCGCGAGCAAGCCCGCUCCCACA